rnacentral:rRNA from 1 species
AACGUAGGUGGCGAGCGUUAUCCGGAUUUACUGGGCGUAAAGGGUGUGCAGGCGGGCCAUUAAGUGGUGUAUGAAAUAUCCCGGCUCAACCGGGAGAGGUUAUGCCAGACUGGUGGUCUAGGGAGCGAGAGAGGGACGUGGAAUUCCGGGUGUAGUGGUGAAAUGCGUAGAGAUCCGGAGGAACCCCAGAGGCGAAGGCGGCGUCCUGGCUCGCAUCUGACGCUCAGACACGACAGCAUGGGGAGCGAACGGG